AUUGAACGCUGGCGGCAUGCCUUACACAUGCAAGUCGAACGGUAACGCGGGGGCAACCCUGGCGACGAGUGGCGAACGGGUGAGUAAUACAUCGGAACGUACCCAGUAGUGGGGGGAUAGCUCGGCGAAAGCCGGAUUAAUACCGCAUACGACCUAUGGGUGAAAGCGGGGGAGUCGCAAGACCUCGCGCUAUUGGAGCGGCCGAUGUCGGAUUAGCUAGUUGGUGAGGUAAAGGCNCACCAAGGCUACGAUCCGUAGCUGGUCUGAGAGGACGACCAGCCACACUGGGACUGAGACACGGCCCAGACUCCUACGGGAGGCAGCAGUGGGGGAAUUUUGG
rnacentral:rRNA from 1 species